CCUACGGGAAGGCAGCAGUGAGGAAUAUUGGUCAAUGGACGCAAGUCUGAACCAGCCAUGCCGCGUGAAGGAUGAAGGCCUUCUGGGUUGUAAACUUCUUUUAUCUGGGAAGAAAAGCAUUGUUUCUACGAUGUCCGACGGUACCAGAGGAAUAAGCACNGGCUAACUCCGUG
rnacentral:rRNA from 1 species